rnacentral:rRNA from 1 species
GAUGAACGCUGGCGGCGUGCCUAAUACAUGCAAGUCGAGCGAACAGAUGAGGAGCUUGCUCCUCUGACGUUAGCGGCGGACGGGUGAGUAACACGUGGAUAACCUACCUAUAAGACUGGGAUAACUUCGGGAAACCGGAGCUAAUACCGGAUAAUAUAUUGAACCGCAUGGUUCAAUAGUGAAAGACGGUUUUGCUGUCACUUAUAGAUGGAUCCGCGCCGCAUUAGCUAGUUGGUAAGGUAACGGCUUACCAAGGCAACGAUGCGUAGCCGACCUGAGAGGGUGAUCGGCCACACUGGAGCUGGGACACGGUCCAGACUCCUACGGGAGGCAGCAGUAGGGAAUCUUCCGCAAUGGGCGAAAGCCUGACGGAGCAACGCCGCGGGAGUGAUGAAGGUCUUCGGAUCGUAAAACUCUGUUAUUAGGGAAGAACAAAUGUGUAAGUAACUAUGCACGUUUGACGGUACCUAAUCAGAAAGCCACGGCUAACUACGUG